rnacentral:rRNA from 1 species
ACACGCUGGCGGUGUGACUUAACACAUGCAAGUGGUGCGACGAACCAGAGCUUGCUCUGGGGCAAAGCCGCGAACGGGUGAGUAACACGUGGGUAACUCUACCCCGAUGACCGGGACAACCCGAGGAAACUCGGGCUAAUACCGGAUGUGGUACGGAGACAUAAGUCUCUUUACUAAAGGUAGCUUCGGCUUCCGCAGUUGGGAGGGGCCCGCGGCCCAUUAGCUAGUUGGUGGGGUCAAGGCCUACCAAGGCAACGAUGGGUAGCUGGUCUGAGAGGACGAUCAGCCACACUGGGACUGAGACACGGCCCAGACUCCUACGGGAGGCAGCAGUGGGGAAUCUUGCGCAAUGCGCGAAAGCGUGACGCAGCAACACCGCGUGAGGGAAGACGGCCUUAGGGUUGUAAACCUCUUUCAGAUGGGACGAAGGUGAUGCGGUGAAUAGCCGAUGUCAUUGACGGUACCGUCAGAAGAAGCUCCGGCUAACUACGUG